rnacentral:rRNA from 1 species
UACAGGGAGAAGCUUGCUUUCUUUGCUGACGAGUGGCGGACGGGUGAGUAAUGCUUGGGAAUCUGGCUUAUGGAGGGGGAUAACUACGGGAAACUGUAGCUAAUACCGCGUAAUAUCUUCGGAUUAAAGGGUGGGACUUUCGGGCCACCUGCCAUAAGAUGAGCCCAAGUGGGAUUAGGUAGUUGGUGGGGUAAAGGCCUACCAAGCCGACGAUCUCUAGCUGGUCUGAGAGGAUGACCAGCCACACUGGAACUGAGACACGGUCCAGACUCCUACGGGAGGCAGCAGUGGGGAAUAUUGCACAAUGGGGGGAACCCUGAUGCAGCCAUGCCGCGUGAAUGAAAAAGGCCUUCGGGUUGUAAAGUUCUUUCGGUGAUGAGGAAGGUGUUUGUUUUAAUAGAACAAGCAAUUGACGUUAGUCACAGAAGAAGCACCGGCUAACUCCGUGCCAGCAGCCGCGGUAAUACGGAUGGUGCGAGCGUUUAAU